rnacentral:rRNA from 1 species
CCUACGGGAGGCAGCAGUGAGGAAUUUUGCGCAAUGGGCGAAAGCCUGACGCAGCGACGCCGCGUGGAGGAAGUCGUCCUUUGGGUUGUAAACUCCUGUCAGGGGUGAAGAAACUCGCAAGAAGCUGACGUAACCC